GGGGCCGUUUCUUCCUUUACUAUCGAGUCCUUUCUGGUAGCGGAAAAUAAGAGCGUGUCAAUGCUAUCGACGUAGAUCGAGCUUAUCUUGAACGACCUCGUGUUUGAAUCUACUCGCGGAACAGUCUCGAGUAAGAGUUUAGUUAUGUUUACAGGUGUCGCGCUCAAUUCCCUUCGACACCUUGAUCAGUGAAUGCCGAGAGCUCGAAACGAUCGUUGCGUGACAAAACGAUUCGCGUCGCGUUCACGUGUUUCUCAAGCUAAAAUUUUCGAACGUUUUACGACGUGGUCGUAAACGUACACGUGUUGCGUGUUCGUGACAAGUGUCGCGAUGCUUCGCAAGUCUAUAUCGAGUAGAGAUAGAAGAUUGAUGUGAUCCGAUGCGAUCGGAACGGCAGCGCGUACUCUGACUGAACGCAGUCCGUAGACCACUUCACGUUAUUAUGUUCGGAACGAGGAGCGAGAUAGAGCUAUCCGCAGCGAUAGAGCGACGAACAUGGACUCGAGACUAUCUUCCGGCAAGUGCGAGGAAAGGGCCUCCACUUCGUGUGCACUUCGCCGACCUGUAACAACAAGGACCUUCUACUUUGCUGAUAUCGAUGCACUUCGUGGAUUUAUGAACGAUCUACAAAGUAAUUGUGCAGCGAAGCGGUAACGCCAUGGUUGAUGAAAGCUGGGACUUUUUCGAAGAGACAAAGUUGAAGCGUGAAUUUCACAAGAAAGGAAUCCCUCAGCAUUAUCCGUCGAUCGUUAACGCCAUGACGAUCGUUUAGUUUUACGCCAACAAUGGAUAAAAUAUGAUUUUUGUUAUUUGUAGGAAAAUUUAACGACUUUAAAUGUUUCUCGCUAGACAUCAUAAUGUUAAUGACCAUUGCUAUUAUUGUACCAGAAGACUCGACAAAUGUUAGAGGAACGACGAAGAGUCUCGAUCGAUUUCAAUGGCAUGUAAAGUUUCGCAAGAGUUAUUAUGAAAAUUCUAUUGCAAUAUGCGAGAACGACGAACGAAAGAAGAAUAAAUUGAAUGAUAAAAGAGUUUACUGGAAGCAUCCAUGAAUCAAUUAUACGACCGAGGCAUUUGAUACAAUUCUAUAACGUUUCGCUUUUGGACAUUCGUUUCCCAGCUAUUACGGCUGGCCGAACGUUGCGGUUCAAUCGUAAAUGGCGAUUGCUUGCAAAUUUAAUUGAAGUUUUCAUCGAGCGCAGCUUUUCAAAUUAUUGCGUUUCUAUAGUGUCAUAUAUGGAGGGAGAGAGAUGGAGAAUAAAAAAAGGAAAGGAAGAAAGGAUCUCCGCUGUAAAUACGAUAGCUUGGGUCUUUUCGUCGCGAUUCGAUUCUCGAGGAAUCGUAUUCAACGAGACGAAUAUAAUGAACCGUGACAACCCGAAAUAACAUUGCGUAAAAAGCAAUCCUCCGAGACGGUCGAUCUGUUUCUUUUAUCCCGUCUGCUCUGUUCAGCAGCAACGCGAACGAACAGAAACUUGUGACGUACGAGUCGCGAUACAAAUUCGCGUCUCAUGAAACUUUCAUUACCGAUUGAUUUCUCGCUUGGUAGCCGCUUUACAAAUCGAGUAUUAAAAUCCGCUCUGGAACAGUCGCGUUUUCACUGACAGACAAAUAUAUCCCUUCUAUCCGUUCCUUUUAACAUCGUCGAAACAGAGAUUUCCGCAUUCGCCAAGGAUUUCCCAAGAGGUUAAUCGUUUUUCGAUUAGUACGGUGACUACUUGCGAAUCGUCGUACGUGAAAAGACUGCUUAAUUAACGAUUAUUCGGAGGAGAUUUCGAGUUCGACGAUGGUUUCGGCGACUCCAUAGAAAAAUUCUCGCAUGACGAGCAUCAGCGAUAACGGUAUUGUAAUUGGUAGCCGGAGAUUAACGAUAAACCAUAUCAGCUGCUCCGGCCUUUACCAGCACGGAUUGUAUGCAUAUUGCAUGAGCUUCGGUCUUUUAUUAUUUUCCUUGCUUUUUUCGUUACUCUUUUAAUACACGUUGGUGGUCGUGAUCUCGCGAGUUGAACCUGCGAGAGCAUAAUCAAACUGCUUUGAAAGAAAAAAAAAAAAGAAAAGAAAAAAGAAAAAGUAAAGACAAAAGCCUCGCAACAGGAGAACUAUUUUAAGAGUUAUAUCGAUCAGUUUUCAUCUUGAUGUGUUUAUAGGAAAACUAAGCGAGCUGAAAUUUUCGAGCUCGAUGAAUUACACGAGUAUUUCGCUUUUAGACGAAACAAGAAGGAAAGGAAGAAAAGAUUUAGGAUAACGAUGAAAAUGGAAUCAUCGCCGGGUGCAAACGCGUACCGAAAUCGAAGCUUUCUACGAGUUUCUAAAAUUCUACGAAAGCCUUUAAACUUUGUGCAACGUUCGAAACGAUAAUAACCUAUAAUUGAAAUAAUUGAAACUAGGGAUCCAGAACGACAGUCAAAAUUGUCCCUUAAUUGCGUCCUCGCUUAGCUCUGAAAGAAAAAGAAAGGAAAGAAUAGGAAACAAUUUCCUCUAGUUCUUAGAGAACGAUAAAUCUUCGACGGCGUAACUUAAAGCAUUUCCCUGUAAUUCUCAAAUCGGCGCUCUUAAAUGUUCUCAACUCGUCGGCCGAAUUUCCUGCCGGAUUUCGGCUAGCAGUUUGUCCAGCGAUCGUUCUAGGAAAGUUUCCAAGCUCGCGAUAACUCGCGUUCGACGAACGAAAAACACUCGAGAACGGGAUAGCGUGGCGUCUGCUCGAUUCGAAGGCGAUGUCGGAAACAGGACAGGGAUUUUUCUUGCGAGGACGCGUGCAUCGUCGCGUUCGUUCUGUUUCUGUGCGUCACGAGACGCGGUUGGAUCGGCGCCAAAUCGCGGCGACGUCGCACAGAUCGGGAAACUGCGCUUGUCGCCGCGAUUCGACAGCUUCUCGACUCUCGACGAAUUCCUAACGCAAAUAGGAUCGGCGUUCUUAUUCGUUUCGUAGAUUUCGGCCAUCCGGUUGAACGGUCGCUUGCCUGUUUGCUUUAAGGUAACGAUGUUUGCUCGAAAUAUUUAAUAUAUACAGUGCUUCUCUUAUUGAUUUUGCAGAAUAUUUGAUUGGUAAUAUUAUUAUCGUGGUUAGAUUAUUUUUACUACGCAUGGAUGAAAAUAUAGAUAGUCUGUAAUAUAUACAGGCACAUUGAAGUACCUUCUUGAGCCAUCGUAUAAGAAUAACAAAAAUAUGUAUAUUCUAGAACGUAAUCUGAGAAGAUUAACUUUUCUUGUAAAAAGCUUUGCAUACAUCGGACGUAUAUAUAAAAAUUUGAUACUCUUACUUAAUAAAGGGUCUUACAUUGGCGAGUACAGCUUAUCGUUAGUAAUAUCUUGGCAUGCUUUGGAAUAAUUUUUUGGCAUAUGAAACAGGUAGCGAGCGUCAUAUUUUUCGAAUAGGAUUUACUUGAAUUUUAACUUUUGAAUGCGUUUGCUUUGAACUUCGCAUUGGAAAUUUGCAUACGGACUUUGCAAUGAGAUUUGCAUAUGAAAACUGGGAUGGGGAUUAUAUUAAAACUAUUGCUUUUAAAAAAUCAUGCCGAAAAUCGAUUGACGUACGGUCGAUGAAAAUAUCUAUCAGGAAAUACGCUUUUUUGUAACCAUUUUCAUUAAAGCGUCAUGCGAAUAAUACCGAUCAAGCUCGUAAGGUCUUCUCGUCUCUCAGACUUGUUUACUUGAUUGACGCAGUAGAGGCAUACGUAUUUAACAGAGAUACAUUAAGUGUCUUGAACAGCGUAGUAUUUAAUGAUUAAUUUUCUUGGAAAGAAGUAGACUUAUCCUUAAGUAAGAACGCAUUAGUACCUUGUUACAAAGAAAAUUCAUCUUCAGAGAUAUUUCUUCCGAAGUAUCGUAGCUUGCAGCUUCACUAACAAUAAAGUAGAUAGAAAAUAAAAAGAGAGAGAAAUAGAACAUGAGCCAAAAGCUGGGAUAAGAAUUAGAGUAAGUUGGAAGACUAGAACAAUAGAGUGAUGUAUCCUGGCGGGACCUGUAGCCUGUACUUUGAAACUUCUCGUACAAAAUAUAGUGGUAACAUAGAAAACGCGGGGGAAAAAUAAAAUUUGCGGACAGCGCUCUCUAAAGUGCCAUCUAAGCGAGACGAGGUUUCCCUGUUGAAGCUCCAGUCUCUUCUUCCUUUCCUUUCUUUCUUUAUUCGAAACCUCGCUCUUGACGUCACACUGAUGUAUCUUUAUUUUUACACGAGCACUACAUGAUGCAAGUCCAACGUUUCGGUGUUACGUUUAUAAUACGCGAUAAGAGGCGAUGAUAUAUGAACGUGGAUCGCACAGACCUCGCUUAAAAUGUAUAUUACUGGCGCGAAGGACUGGAAUUACAUACCUAUAUCCCGUAUCCCGCAGAAUGAUGUAAAUCGAAUCUUAAAGCUAACAGAAUCGUCGUGGAAGAAUAAGAAUCGUACUUGCGUGAGAACAACGGUAAACGAUCUUCCAAAAAAUAUUCAUAGUUCGAGACAAUUUCGAUAAUUCAGACUCGAGAUAUUUAGGACAUAUUUUCGGAGUAAGACGCGAACGAAAGAAAGAAAGGCAAAUUACAUCGAUAAGAAUGGAUUAGGGAGAGAGUCUAGGGGAAAGCUUCAUUGCACCGUGUCGUAAAAUUCAAUGUUUGAUAUUUAAACAGGCGUUCGCGUAUUACCAUUAAUGUGAUAAAUUGGCCUUAAAUCACUUUAGGUACACACGAGCGACGAUGUUGUUACCAUUAAACACGAAAGAUCUAUCGAGAAUCACGCAAUUAUUCUACUAUCUUGCGUAAAAAAGGAUCUCCUCGUGACUCACGAGAGUAUUACGAGCCUCUCAAAACACCCGGGAAAAACAAACGAAUGUUAUUAACUUAUUACCGUGUUACUAAUAAGACUUUAAGUAUGGGCGUAAUGCCGAUAAGAUGAGAAACGUCUCUCGCGAAAUUGCAGCUGGCCUGUUCUUCAACUGAUUUCAAGGAACGAGAGAACGAAAAGAAGAGGAUGCAAUGUACACUCUGCGCUAAAAAUACAUAUUUGUUUAAACGAAUCUGUUGCGUGUUCAUUAAAUACGUCGCUGUACGCAAAUACUUUUUCAUUAAACGUUUCGAGAAACGUUUUACGUUACGAAAACAUGCAUCGAUGUCAGUAACUGUGACGUUGGUAAAAAUUCUUGAACUAGAGAGAAAAACAUUCGUGAAAUAUGCCGCAUAAUUCGUCUGUCAGAAGUCGAUCGCCCGACCCCCAGCAAACACAGAUCUGUCUUAAUUAGCAACUUCAUUAACGACGAUAAGGACAUUAUUCGACUCAGUGCUCGCAUCAUCUGUGGCAGAUCCAGAUCUUGCGUCACUCCCACUAUUAUCAAUCAUAGAAUUCGAGUUCUCUUUUCAACGUUAAUCGAGAGCGAAGAGGGAUAAGCAAUCUAUGCCGCGAUAAAUACCAAUCUUCCAUUUAACGAGAAUAUUCGUGUUAAACGAUAGCGAAAUUUAUCCAUAUCUUUCUUUUCUACAGUUGAAACCUUUCUCGAGAGUAUCAAUUAGAAAGUUGCGAGAAGUCGCAUCGACCAGCGCCUGCGUCGCCUGCAUCCGAGUGUAAUAAAUAACACACCCAUUGCUUCGCUUGACCGGUUAAUGAAUGAUAAUGCAAAACGAAUGAUUUCUAUAAAACGAAAAAAGAAAUGAAAAAAGAGGUGAUGUCACUGCGACUGUUUAGAACAACGAUGAAUAGGUGAUAAAUGUCUGUGCACGGUGUUAGCUGCCAGAAUGCAAAGUUUAUUUUUGUCGAUUAGGCAACUGAAAUGCAAUAACAGUUGUUCCUUUCAUAAAGUAUUUUUGGAUAUGAUACUUGACAACGAGCGACGUUUAUUUCUCACGAAUGUCUCAUGAGUGUUUAUUUCUUUAUAUGAGCGAAUAACGAAGUUUAAUCAGCUCGGUACUUGGAAGCGAGCUACAUCUCGAUAUUUGUUACUUAUUAAUCGACUCGUUAUCUUUUUCUUGGGGAAUGAAUCGCGCGUAAUUUACGGACAAGAAAAUAUAACAACCCCGUGCAAGAGAUUCGAUUAUAUCUUGAAAAUUGCCCCUCGUGUUUACAUACAUCGUCGCGGAUUGCCCAAAUACUCGAGGAACAAGUAAGAGAAUCCUACGCGAUCAAAGCGUCAUUGAACGUCGAUGCGAGGUGAAUUUGCAAAUUGAAGCUCUGCUCGCGAGCCACUGCAGUUCAAAAGACAUCCUCAUCGAUAAUUUCAUUAUAUUGUCAAAAUCGAGAAAUCGUCACGGCUCGAUGGUGUCUGCAUUUGAGCACGUUUGCCACCCCACUUCUGGAUGAGUUGAUCCUCACGGUGCACCACGGUACGUCAUUGCGCAUUGCUGCGCCAUCGUUACACUUGGCUAUCCUCCAGAUGCAUCGGGGACCGAUGGCGAGCGCCAAGGGCCAGAGAAGUUCGACUCCUGGUCGAUUCUGGAGUCGCGACGUGAUUUAAAUUUUCGCCGAAGUCGAUCGAACUCGUUCCACGAGACUUUAGAUCUCCCCAGAUUCGUUAGAGUAUUCUCUUUGCUGCACUUGCACUCUGAUUAACUUUACUCGGUCUGAUUAAAGACCGUAUAAUCCCCUGUGUUCCGUGAAAGAUUUUCGCAUUGGUUUCGGCAAUCGUUCUUGUCGUGCAACUUUAUAAAUUAUGCGCGGCUGCUUUUUCGUUCAUUUUGAUGAUUAAUCUAGCCCACUGCAAGGACAAUUAAUUUAUCAUCGUCGGGACCGUUGCGGAUUAUUUGUUCAACUGAAUACAAGUAUGUGGAAGUUACGUUUUGCUGCGUUUUAUUUGAGUCGGGUCGUUUUAUCGAUCUCUCUCGAUUUAUUAUUAGCUUGACCCGCUAAUUAUAAAUUAUAACGGAAAUUCACGAACAACGUGGAGUACUUUUAUUACAGAAAGUUAACCACACUUCGUUUGUCAAUUUCGAUCUAACUAACGAGUCACGAUUAAAUUUAAUUUAAACAUAAGCUAAAUUACCACAUGUGCGUAUCUACAUACAGCAAGUCUGUAUCGCGGAAUGAAAUCUAAAAUCACAUUUUAAAAAAGUUUCCGUUUGAAUUGUUGUAUGUCAAUAUGGAUUCAGUUUUUUUUUUUAUCAAAAUUUUUUGCUAGCUCUAAGCGCAAAAUAUAUAUCGAGAGAAUUCCAUCCAAUAGUUUCAACGGUUACAUCGGCGAAAAUUUUUCGAUCGUUUAUGGUGACAGAAUCGAUGCCCUGACACCUGACGCGUGACGACAGUUGCGUCCAAUGCGAUCAUCAAUCGGCCAACGAUCGUCGCCAGAACUCGACACGUUUUCACAUUUGAUGAAUCAACACAUCGCGAACGGGUUCGCUGUUUUUACUCGGAUAGUGCGAUAAUCUGGAGUGCAAUCGUGAUCACGAAUCGCGAUGAUUAAUCACGUUUUAUAUCUUUCUCAGAAAAUUGCCUUAAUGUUCCUCGUAUCUUGUAUCUAUAUUCAUAUAAUAGACUCGACAUUUACGUUUAGUUAAAUCGUUAUUUGUUCAAAAGCGAUUCGAGAGAUUUACACAACUGUCACGAACUUUGCGGCAGUUUGUUUGAUCCAAGUUUCGAAUAAUUAGAGUCAUUAUAGCGAAUCGAUACGUGCGAUACGUACACGGAGUCUUCCAGAGACCGUAAACGGUGACACGUUGGAGUUUGAAAAUAAUUCUCUAAUUGCUAAGUAUGCAAAUAUUUGCUACGAAACAGGCGUUUCUUUGCGAUUCUCACGAGGUAAAUUUUUGGUUGCACGUUCUUGUUUAUCAGAAUUUUUCGCCCCACGUGCCAAUUGAACUUUAUCUAUCAUCAUUUUUUAUCGCAAGUCACGUGAAGCUCCACGUUUUAGUAAGACAGCGACAUUUACAACGUAUGACGUUAAUUUCAAUUUGCAAUUUAAGGUUAACUGAUAACUGAUUAUACUACUUUCUUACUCAACAUCACGUGAAUCGAAGCGGCUGGUUCUUGCAUAGAAAAUCCUGAAACAACUUGGAAAAAAUUGGAAAUACCGUGAAUUACUUUUAGCAAGUUCUAGCAAGUUUUAGUAACGCGAAACAUCUGUGAGGGGCAGAUAAAGGAAAACGAUCCGGGCAACGUGGAUGAUCUAAGUUUUUAAAAGUACUUUUCAUCCUGCUAUCAAGAUCAUUCUUAAACAUUCUAAAAAAAGAAAAAAAAAAGAAUAUAAACACGAUAAGAAUGUACAUACAUUAUUAGCAAAUUUUGGCGUAAUUAAGAAGAAUUAUGUUCACGUGAUGGUUUAAGAGAAUUACGUCGGUUUCCCUGACGCCUCAGUUUGAGGAAAGUCGUGAUGGAAGGAGAAAUGGCCGUCAGUGGAAAGUUCCCGUAGCGCACAAACCAAGCACAUUAGCGGUUUAAUAUUAUGCAAGUUUGACGUAUUAUGCUAGACUGGUAAUCACGGUGUUUAACCGAUUUAUCCGCCAGCAAACACGCGUUGAUUCAUGAUACCGUCAACAAUUAGUUCUCACAGGCAGCAAUAAAUUUCACGUGUGCUGGUAAACAGACAUGGGCUGGUAAACGAAGUCAAAUAAAACGCUGCCAGUACGACAGAACUUUCUCUCGUUCUCUCUCUCUCUCUCUCUCUGUCUAUCUUUUCGUUCAAAUACCACGUCUGCAAACAGUGUCAAAAGUGCAAACUCGCUCAUAAAGAAACAGCCUGUUUACCUGGGAAUAAUAGUCUUUUUCGUAGUUGUAAUCGGUUUCGUAACUCUUUGGAUCGUAUGCAUCCUUUUUUCGAGCGUCGCUGUUUUCGACAGAGAGAAAGAAAAAAAAGACAGCUCGAUGUUAAUCAAACGAGAAUCCACAGAUGCAAAGUUUCUUUUUCACCUUGUUACUCUUUUUUCGUUCGUGGCCAAAAGUAGAUUUAUUUGAAAGCAGCGGCGCGUCGCGUCGUUUCGCCGGUUCGUUUGAAAUCCCCUUACCGUUUGCCGCUUCAAAGCGAAGUGCUGCUGUCGUCAAACUUCUUCGAAUGCGAUUUUCUUUAAACCACCGGUUCUCAUGUAACGGCAGUACGCUCGUAGUCCUUAUCCUUUCGAUGGUUGAAAGGUACUAAUUUCAUUAGAAGAACUUCCCUACUAUUAAAGAGACACGAAAACUUGUCUCUUCCUAAUAUCUCGCGCAGUUUAUCCAAUUCUUCUUCCUUUUCUUUUUCUCUUUUUUUUUUAUACCAUCUCGUCACUGCUUGUCUCUGUACGGAUAGACAAUACGCACAUUGUCAAUCCUUGAAAGAAAAACAAUUCGUGGAUUCGUACUAUUCAUCAUUUGACGAAUACUGUAAACAGUGAUCUAUCAGUGAACAACGACAAGUGUUACGUGAACGUUCCAAUCGGAAAAUAAUGAACGAUUAAUAGACGCACAAAACAAACUGUUGCAGUAACUUAUUGCAGUCGAGCCUCUUUGAAAAACAAUGACGGUUCAGGAAAAAACAAGACUCUGUUAAGACUGCGUGUUUACUCGACGAAAUUCUAUUAUACACUUUGGCAUUUUCUGGAGACGAAGUAAGCAAUUAAUGAAUAUGAAAUACGCGAAGGGAGGAAGCUCAGCCCCCAAGUACCGCUCGCAUCAUUUAGCGACAGAUCAUGAGGUGACCGCGCCUAAUAAUAGCUCGUAGUCAACAAAAUAAUAAAACUCGGUUUACGGAAAGAUAGGAAAGGUAUGCUAAUUUCAAAAACUACGCAUCGUUCGGUCUUCCCUGGUUAUAAACGACCAUCGAUCAUUCAAUGGCAGUUAUUUCUAAAGACCCGAUAGUUUUAUGAUUCUAUUGUUACGCUACGGCACAAAUCGUUGUCGCGUAUUGUCAGGAUUUCCGUUAGAAAUUCGCUGAUGCAGCUGCUGCGAGUCGUUUACUGGAUCGAGUUCUCAAAGUAGAUGCACCAUUAGUAAUCGGUUGCAGAGCUAACGAGUAGUUGGAGGUAAGUUGCAAACGCGUCGACGUAUACACGCUCGUACGUAGGGAUUCCGUGGAAGUUACCGGUGAUCUAAUCAUCGGCGCCCAUCGUAUCAGGAGCCAUUAAAUCUCUCUACCAGUCAAGCCGCUGAGUUAUGUUAAUUACACAUUCGAUCAUAGAGAAAGCGGAAGACAAGAUAGAAUCUUGAACGUAAAAAGAAUAGUUAUGACUAUGACGAGAUUCAGAUAUUUACACAAAUUUGUAUCUUUGAAAAUGCAAAUAAAACAAAAUUGGAAUCUAGGCAGAGAUUUCUUUCAUGUGUUAAAUAUCAUAAGCAGUGUACUUUGGAUAUUCGAUAUUUCUUUGGUUUCAUUACCUUUAGCUAUAAUGCAUGAUUUUUGAUAUAACGUGCAAUUUUACACUCUCAAAUUUCCAUAAAUGUAUAAAAAUCUGCUAUCUAAUUAUAAUAAAAGAACACCAGAAGGAAAAAGAUGUCGAAAGAACCUUGUAUUUUUUACCUACAAUUGGUAAUAUCAUAAUAAUAAAGAACAUCGACUAACUGACAAUGAUUGAGAGGAAGAAGAAAAACAAGAAGGUAAAAAAUUGUUACGAGCAUGAUUAUGCGCAAUUUUCGUAAAAUUUGCGCCAGGAGAGCUAUUGCUCGUUAUUUUACGCGAGAAGAUACGAGAAGAUAGACAAAGGAGGUCGAUGGAUGUUCGACGCGCGUUACCGUGAUUUUCUCAGCGAUCUGCAAGAUCUUCAGCAAAGGGCAUUUUUCUGCAUUAUAGUUAUUUCGGGAGUAAAUUGUCCGGAUUGAUAAAAAUGGGCCGCGGUUUGUACACGGCGAGUACUCUCGCGUUGGCGCCAAGAGUCGACAACCGCAAAAGAAUAUAAAGAACCGAGGCGAAACUGGACGAUGAUAUACGCGUUCCCGUGGCUAACGACGAUUCUCUCUGAUUUAUGUUCGCUUUGCAACCUGGCUUGCGAUGACGAACCUGUAUCGUUAACGAGAGCUUCUCCGUUUCUUCCUUCUCAAGUAUGGUAUACGGAAUGGAAGAAGUUUCAAACAAAGCCAUUUCUGUUUAUAUAGUACGUUAGAUGGCCUACUCUCGCUGAUAAAAGAUAAAUUUAUGGCAUUUGGUUAGGAAUAAAGGAGAUUUAGAGGCGAAGGUGUCUAGAUGCGUAUUUCACGGCCAAUUUUUCCACGACUUUUCCUUCAUCGCAUUUCCAUUCGAUACUUCUUUCUUGCUAUCUCAAACAACGAUUAUACCUGUGCAACGUAAGAAGAAUAAUGUGCAUUGCAUAACUUUGCCUUGAACGAAAGAAAUAUGUAUUGAACUCCAGACGCGAAACUUUCCGGAGAUGAUGUAACUCACACCUGUCUACGAACCAUUCAAACAUAUUCUCGUUUUUUUCUUUUUAUACGCUUGUUAGCCGGUGAGGAACAAUGGCCGUUUAAUUAUCAACCGAAAUAGAAGAUUCUAGAGUCUCGAGACGGGCGAUCGACGAGUUUCGAUCUCUCCUCCACGGUUCUAAAUUGAACGGACCUUCGUCUAUUUGAAAUCCCCUGGCCGAAAGUUUCGGAGCUUUCGUUUAAUGUGCUAAUUCCGGCCGGGUUUGUUUGGAUGGCUCGCGUCUUUAAGGUAGUCGGUUCAUCUGCAUUUCAGAUCCCACGGAACACCUGAACGAAUAUUAAACUCGACCACUUCGUUUUACAUUACCAGUCGUGCAAUAUUCUUAUAUAGACAUUAGCAUUAACCGAUAUUACCUGUGUGAUUCUUUAUUACACUUCGAUAUUUUUUUUUUUUUUGCCGGAGAAGAGAAAUGGAAAAUGGUUGGAAUAGCAAGAUCUUAUAAAAGAGAUCGAAGUCAAAUGAUGCGUUCCGUUGAAGAAUGCAAUCUCGACUUUUCUCCGUCGCUUCACAUAACGAUUACAUGGUAAUGGCGCGUUCACGAGCCAUCUACCGAAACCCACCUGCUAACUCCAUCAAAGGAUCAAAAAUCGGUCAAGAAAAGAAAUCUCUUCGAUUUCGUUUCUUCCAUCUCUAAAUACUUUGUUCAAACUGUGAUAAAACCCUUGUGCCUGUGGUUCUACCUAUAUCGCGGACUUACCAAAUUAAAUAGAAAAUUUAUAAAUUUCACUGCAAGCUUCGCCCGCCGUUCCAUCUAUGUUUCUUUACAAACGAAUAUCCACAACGACCGAAUAAGUCGAAAUAGUAAAUACGAUAGAACCUUUGCUCGAACGAUUACCAGUAUUUUUAUACGAUAAAAAUAAACCAGUUGAUUCACCAUUAGCCUGGAUAACGUGCGCGCGCGACGUUUAAAACGUUUCAGCUUGGCAAGGAGAUAAGACCGACCGUGGUUUCAGAACCACGACAGUACUCUUUCCGUCUUUGAAAAGGAACGUUCAACGAAGGAUAUCACGUGAGCAUGGAACUCACGAACUCCAUUCGGCCGAAUCGAAAAGCGCCGUUGCACGCGGUAUUAACUUCAAAAUUAGCGAGUUCCUCGUGAAAUAGCCGGCCCCGCUACCAGAUCUAAUCAACCUCAGCCUGAGAAGCCCGGUGUGCCACGCUAUAAUUUGUGGAGAAGCGUGAAAUAAGUCGCGGCCGAGCCGUUAUCGUCGACGAAUCGAACGGCACCGCUUCGAAUUCGCCGCGGUGCUCCUCGAAAUUCCGCCGAAUCCCGUUACAUUUUCUUGGAGACGAUCGAUUGGUUAUUGCGGACCUUGUUUUCCGUGAAAUUAAGCCCUUUGUACUUUUGUUCGCUCGCCUUUAGAAACCUGAUUCAUUUUCGAUGGAAGUAGUUACGGUUUAUAGCUCAGACAAAUAUCCUCCAGUUUUUAUAUUCCAAGCAGCAGAGAAUGAUAAUAGAGAAAUUAAUUUACAAGACAAAUUCGAUAAACGAUAAUUACGACCCUCGGAAUUUUUUCAUUCUGAAAUAUUUAUUCUAUCCUACGCGAACUAAAGAUGCGAUAAAAAAUGAUCCAAAUUAUUUUUCAAUACUUCCUUCUUUAUCUUCUAAUCUGAUGCAUUUCGACCGCAGUUUCUUCCGUUCGUGAGAUCUUAUAAAAGUGAUUUGAUGUCCUUGAGCGAGCAAUAUCUCUGGCUCCGGCUAUAGUGGGAACCAACCGCGGAUAUUGGACGCGAAAAGAAGCCUGAUCGAACGCAAAGGGGGGGGGGCAAAAACUGGGAAAUUACAUCAAUUGAAUUGCCGGGCGGAACACGUUUAAAUGGAACAGUGUGACAGAUAUUGUUGGCAGGGUUACAAAUUCCAGCUACGGGGUCAGAAUUAAUCAAAUCUGUUCUGCAAAGUCGAGCAAGGAGGAAAUGUUAAAACGUUCGAACCAAUUAACUACGAACACGUGACUAUUGCUCAAUAUUUCCCUGUACGGUUUAAUCUUUCGGAGAUUAGACUUCCGAAUUAACGAACACGUACGUCGAGAAGUUCCAGGCAGGCACAGAGAUAUACCGAAUUAAAUCUGAGAGGAAAAAAGAAAAAGGUGAAACUUCGCUUUCAAACUAUCUCUCGAUUCACCUUUCGAAUUCCUCUUUGAAAGUUCGAUCAUGUAAUUACCUCGUCGCAACUUGUAAGUUACCAUCUAAUUAAUGAAUGAAACAGGCGUUAGCGAAGCCACCCGGCGUCAACGCAGUAGCAACUGUUUCGAAGUUUCCUGAAGCUGACACGUUAUCGCGUAAGUUUACCCGAAUAACAUACCGCAAACCGAGGUCACGUCGUGAUAGUCGCAGGAUUGAUAAAACCAUCAAUUUGGUUCGCGAUGACACCCUUAAUCAUAUCCACGUUCGACACUUUCUCCAUUCCGUUAUCGAUGCUGCCUCUCUACAGGUCCGUGAUAUUAUAGGAAUAAAAAUAUUCUUUCUUUGCGAGAUACGUAAUCUAACAUGUUGCUUUUCAUCGUUGCUGUCGCUCUUACAAAACUCGCUGGACACAGCUGUAAAAUAGACGCUUUUAGAGAAGUUAAACCUUGUUACGGCCGCUCGUCAGCAGCCAUUCAACAGCUGACGCCUCGUUUCUUCUUCUUUUUUGCGUCGUGUUUUCGUUGCUCGUAUAAGAAUCUCUUCCGUGUCAUGAAACGACUUCCGAUCGAUGGUAAAACAAGCCAGUGAUUCUCGGUGCUUAAUGCCAGUCCAGACGCUUGAUUGUAUCGGAGAUCCCUAAAACUUGUUUAGUAUCGUCUCUGGGGUAAGCUUAUUGAAGCUUCUCCUGUCCUUUAUCUUUCGCGAUGGAAAGAGGUCUGUGAAGAUACUUCGAAGAAUCAGACAUUCUUAAUUAUCUUCUGGUAAAAGCAGUAUCGGGAGAAUUAACCAUUCGUAUUCAGGAAAAAUUAUUCGAUACGAUCGUUCACCCAUUCAAGCACUCUUUCGCAAUAAUACGUUUUAAUAUUGAAUAUUAUGUUUCGAAAAGAAAAAGAUUAUAAUUAUUUCCGAAGCUUUUCAUUCAUACGCGUUAGCAUUGUUCCCCUUUCCAUUUUAGAUCGGUAAAAUUAAAUAAGAAAUCGUACCUUGUCACGUCACUGGUGAAAUAAUAUAAAUUGCAAUAUUUCAAAACGAGGAUUCGCAAAUAUUUUAAAAGAAAUUACAACUAUUUUCUCAACUCUAAACACAAGUUAUCCAACUAUCUAAUUACUUCCAGCGUUACGCUUACUCUUUGGUUGCAACAAUAUCGUAUAAUUCAUCACUGUCUGUCAGGUGCAGAAUAUUCUUCGAAAAGCUGGAAAUAUUUGACACGGACUGAAAUCAAAUAGAAUCUUCGUACGAAAGAAUUCAAGGGAAGACCAGGCGCGAAACUAAUCACGUUGCAAUCACGCGAGCGGAAAAAAAAACAAAAGAGACGACAGCGGGAGUUGCGAGGAUUGCGCAACGCGCACGACCAAAUGCGCUCGUCUCGUACCGGCGUUAACCGUGUAAUUGCACUUUUGUCUGGGUACAAGGUUAUCGUUGUUCCUUCGUUUCCCUGAUUCACGAUUUCACAUCGAUCGAACAACCCCCUCUUACUAGCUUGUUUCGCUUUUUCAACCAUUGAAACGAAUUAAAUGUAUAGGCACAGCACGAGGAGAAAGGGGAAAUAUUCUUCUUGUAAUAAAUAAAUAGCAACCGCGAUAUUCACGUCAUCUUCUGUUCUCGUUGAUGAAUCGUCGUACUGGGGAACAGGCAAUUUCGCUUUCAACAAAACUGCGGUAGACGUGACGUUUGUCUUGAAAUGGAGGCUAGGUGUCUGUCGUAGAGGGUUAGGUAGAACUGUGUGCAGAAUAUGAAUGACCCGAGCAGACUAAUUAGAAUAAGGUGGUAUUGACUAGCAACCACGCGCGCGUAGAGUUUGCGGUGAGUUACGAUACGGGCUGUAGAACUUGGGAAAAUGUGGUGUGCGUGAAACGGUGAUAACUGUAGAACUAUGUAAAAUAUUGUUGCGUACGUGGAUAUAAUAGACUGUUAGAUUAUUGCGAGCAAACAGCAUAGUAGAUAAGUAGUUUUCGAAUUAUCGAUACUUAGAGGUAAUAGAAUAAGAGUUGUAGCUAGUUUGAUUCACGAGAAAGUUAGGUAAAUCGGAUAAGGAAAUCUACAAAAGCACGAUGUGAAAAGCAGAAAAGCUUUCUGUUCUUGAACAAUAGAUGCUCCGUUUGCGAUGAUAGAUGUACUAUUCUGUGUUCUAAUUGUAGAACUUUUCACCCGUAGACUGUCUGACGAUUAAUUUUUAAUUUGUAGAGUCGUCGGUGACUAAUUUUCGAUUCGCGGUAAUUGCUGUUCUGAUUGACGACAACGUAAACAAUCGGCCACUCAAACGAAUUUACGAUGUCUUCACUUUAAAUAAAUUGAGAUAUCCGGUCAAGACUCGAAAGACCUCGACAACGUAGGUAGAUUUUGGGGAUCCAAUUACGGCGAGGCGAUAUUUUCAGAGAAAUUGGGAAUGCUGGCGCAAUUAGCAGAUGAGAGGUGCACGGACGUGGAAUUCAGGUGUCCACACACGAUAUGCUUUCUAAAAUCGAGGAAAAUACGGUGUUUGUCUUGCAGUGUUUGUGUUCCGAAGGUAAUUUCAAGUGUUUGGCGUGUGAGGAAACGUGGAAACACGAUGAACAUGGAUAACUCUAGGUGACCAAGUGGAACGUGACAAGGACAGUGAAAAUUUCGGAGUAAAUUACAACGGAGAAGCUUGGAAUUCAGAUGGUCCGCGACACAACGAGAAUCUUUCGACGACUGUUUCAUUAAUUAACGUGUAUAUAGUUUUGCUAGUUGGAUCGUUGAUAAAUAACCCGUGAACGAGGUUAAACGUUCGAUGAGAGAAGAAAUGUGACUCGAUUCGAUGGCGUAAACGUUUCAGCACUUUUAACUAAAGAGUUAAAUCUGAAACUAACCAGAUAUGAAAAACAAAAGAUUCGUUUUACAAGACGAGCGUACACUUUACCCUCUGGAAUUUGUUUUUUGUUCAACUUAAUUAAACUUCUUAAUGGUAUUCUAAGUCCGUUGAUAUCUGAAACUUUCAUUUAAUUUACGUCCAUUCUUGUUUGCGCGAUUAAACGUCUUCACUCGACAACCAGAAAGACGAGGGUUCUAUGAGAUACGUUUCUCGGAUCAUGUUCGAUUCCGCUUAUCAGCAAGCAGAUAGAGGUUUCGCGAUGAAAAGAGGUCACUUCAAGCGAUUUCAUGCAUAUUUAGGUCUAUCUUCUACUCAAUCCUUUUAGGUAUAUAUUCUACUGUACGAAACUAUAAAAAAACAUCGCGCUCAUUCAUCAUUCGAUCCGACGAUAAUUUUAACUGACCGUAUUUCCGUUUGCGUAACCAACUAUCUAUCAUUAUGACUAUGUGCUCCUCGAAUCGCGACUGUUGGCAGUAGAAAACAACAAAAGAAUCAUCGGUUAUUCGUCGACGUGACUACUUAUACCAUUGCUGUAUUGUUUGAAUUAUGAAUCGAUUCUCCGGUGGAAUAUGUAAUCGUAAAAGACAGCAAAUUGCACGAAAAGACAUACGAAAUAUCUUUAAUCUUUUUCAUUCAGACGUAGUUUAAUUCUUCGUUCAUUAACUCGGUGAUUAAAUUCAAGGUUUAGGAUGACGUUAAUUCUAUAUUAAUUUUAAUAUUUCAAGGUACACGUUCCAUGAAUUUCUUUCGGGAUCCUUGUUGUCAUUCUUAUAAUUGAUGUUUGAUUUCUUUUGAAAUUCGAUAUCCAAAGAAUUUACACGAAUCGAUCGCAUAAGAAUGUUCUUGUAAAAAAAAGAAGAUAUUUUUUAAUUUUAUAAACUGAAUACGUUUAUAAGAGAACUGAAUGAAUCGUACCAGCGCAGCUGGCUUUCCAAAUGCGGGGAAUUGAAACAAACGUUUAAUUUCGUCCUGAUAACAUCGACAUCGAAUAACCAGGCAUAUUCUACACCAUGAUGUUUCUACAUGACUGUGGGGCCAGACCGCUCCGUAAAAAUAUAUCUUAUAAUAAUUGCAAUUUAUUCCUCUUUAUUCGAUCUAUUUUACUUGUUUGUUUUCAAUUUCAGGUUACAUACAUAUUUACCCAACAGUUUUAGUCUGGAAACAUUUCCGAAACGAAUCAAACGUAUGAUACAUUCGCUCACAGAACAAGAGAAUCGAUUCGAGUAGUCGGUCGAACGAGAACAACACGAAGAAAGAAUUUAACAGUUUCCGUAAUUUCCUUUGCCUGCCACGUGAACGAAGAGAUUCAUGAGUCACGGCACGUACGCUCGACUUGCGAUUUCGAUAUCCCGUUACAAGUGCAAAUAUUUGUCUGUAAACGCUUCCCGCUGGCUGGCCGUUGCUGUUUCUGCUUUGUGCUCGCUACAUUUCAAACGCGAGAUUUGUCGACCCGUUGACCCUCCAGACCAGUCAAGAAUCCAUUUGUUGUCGGAUAUAUCUACUACAAAAAAGAAGUGGUGCGACAAACUUCACGUUUUUCGACAAAUCUGUCAAAGCGAGAUCACUUUAUCCUCGUAAAUUUAAAAGGUCUUUACAUUCGCAACUUCGUGAACAGUUUUUAAACUGACAAUGAGAAUUAUUCAGUUCUGCAAUUAUUUCGAGAAUGCAAGUGCCCCCAGGAGAAAAGUGGCGAAACAUCGUCACGAUAAAAGUGUUUUCGUAACUCUCUCGUUAAAUGUCAGUAUACAAGUUUCAUUAAACGUCGCCGGUGUUCUAAACGACGAACAACUGUGAAUGUUUUUUAAUAAACAACCGUCCGGCAGCCACCUCGAAGGCAGUGGUCCGGUUGGAAAACUUGACGCGGCUCAUGUUCUUUUCAAACGGGGGCAAGAAACGAACCGGACUUUUUACGUCGUGUUCCAAUUAAGGAGCUAAGUAAUGCUCCGGCUACGACAAGACUUUGUAAGAAGUACGGGAACGCGACUUAGCGCGAAUUAAGUGAGUGUGACACGCGGACCUGCCAACCUGCAGCGAUUAAUCACCAACAUCGUGAAAGAGGCGAGUGGAAACCGGGACAAAGGAAUUCGUUUCUUUCAUAAAGAUUCGAGAAAGCUUGGGGAGAAAUUAUCAGACGAUCGAAGGGAGUUCGUGCGACUUCCUGCCCCUGAAUCGCCAUCUUUGCGAACGUGUUUCGUGAAAAUUAAUUAUGUGAGAGCAGACACGCGAGAGGACAAAAAUAAGUUAAAAGUCAUCGCGGUGUAAGCGAUGAAUUUAAGAAUUUGGAUUUAAUAAUAUUUAAGAGCGUUCUUUUAUCAAGUAUCGUAAGGGUUUCAUUUUUAUAGAAUACGAAAGAAUACACAGAGUAUGCAUGUAAUAUGCAAAGGUAUAAAACUCAUCCAAAUAUAGUGCUCAUUAAAAAAGCAAUUUUCGAUCUAACUUCCAUUCUUUUAAAUUACCUUCAAAAAGCUACGAAUUUGCAUAAAUAUCUGCAGUCUACUGAUAAAGCUUUCCUGUGGAUGUGCGUGUGUGUAUUAACGAAUACUGUAGAAUACAAUACAAGAAAUUCUUCGUUUACUUCCUUUCUUCUACUUCUAAUACACGAUUCAAUGAAAAAGUAAAUAUCAUACAAUUUGACGAGGAAGCGUAAAAAUUUUCUACAACGAGACGAAAUUCCCGCGGAAAAGGGAAAACAUGGAGAUAAGAAAAUCGUUUGGCAUAAUACGUUUUAGUUGCGGCGCCGCGAUGCGAUUGCGGCGAAUUUUAUAACGUAGCGGAAAUUUUUAUAAUGCAAAUCCGGACCACGUAGGUCGUUGGAAGAGUCUUCGUUUCUCGCCGAAAAAGAAACAGAAAAGGGUGAAGAAGGAGGGCGAGGCUGUGAACGACGGCCGCGCAUUAGGGACUUUCUGAUGGCGUCAGAUGCUCGUUGCCUCUCGUUUUUAUAGGCGAUUAUCGCAGAAGUUUUGGGGGAGGGCGCGCCUUUUGCUCAGCCGCCGUGUUGGAACCGAACUUGCCCGAACCUCGUGAGAAAAAAGCUGCUUCAGAAAGUACGGGUAUUAAAGAGACUGUGUUUCUUUCGAACUAAAUCCUAACGAGAAAUCUUUGAGUAUCUCGAAUUCGUCUAAUCUUUGCGAACAUGGGUCCCGGUAAAAAUCCAUCAAGACGCACGAGUAAAUUACGAACAGAAAAAUAAAGUUUAUAACGAAGAAAUCUAAAUGGAAAAAUAUCCAAUGAACGUCCAGGAACAAGAUGUGCAAAUAUACCGGCGAUUAAAAAAUAAAACUAGAAUCAAAGGAAUUCAAAUGAAAGCUCCAUGAAAAUUCUAUUUAGUGCGAGGAGGAAAAUGAGAUUUAUCCUUACGUUCUACGAAAAGUUAUUCGAAGCUUCAAAAAUGUAUCGCUAUGAAUUUACAGAACUUUGAAAAAUGGGGAAAAAUGUUAAAAGACCAAGAAUUGAUCAUUUUGACUACCGUGCGUUACUUUUACCUGAUACGAGAAUCGAAAUAUAAACAAAAUGCAUCACUCGCUUCGAAUAAGUUGCAAAUAGAAAUAAUUUAUAACAACCACGUUAACAGUGCUCAAAAUCAACAACAGCCAGCAGAAAUCAGCCAACGUUCAAACAUCAUUGUGGUAGUCGUUCACGAUGAUCUCGACCGAGCUCCUUUCGAUAGUCACAAACUACUCAUCGCGUUUGGCAAGAACGACGAGUCCGAUUCUUCCCAUGGGACCAACAGAUGGGAUCUCGACAGCAGGAAGUUGGUUUCCUUGCAAACCUGUUCCUACGAUAGAGGUUUAAUGCAUCUUCGAAGAGCAAUAGACAAGCGAGGGCAAGGCGAAGGCUCGUGCAAACCGCUAUAUCGAUGACUAUUUUUACACUCGACGUGCAGGUCCGCUUGGCGACGAUCUUGAACCUCGAUUGUUCGCCACGUCGAUCUCCUACGACAUCUUUUACGCGGUAUUUUGUUUCACGAUGACAUUUUCACUCUUAGAAGAAUUUUCUUUUCGUGGAGUUUUCAUAUAGCACUAUAUGAAACUAUAGUUACUAUAUCAUAUCGAAGAAUGUUCCUCUGUUUACAUGGUCAAUCAAGUCAUUCGAUUUGAAUGCCAUUGGAAAUAUCUGAAGUUGGUUAAAUCAGCGAACACAAUAUAAAAUGAGGAUAUAAGAUAUUUCACACGGCAAUGCAUACGGAGCAUACGGAGUAAGGGAUACGAGCUGUAAUAAACGUAACAGGAGAAAGCACGAAUUAUUGUCAUCUAUAAUACUUUAGUAAUUAGUAAACUGUACUAUUACAGUUCAGUCUCGCUUCUCAAUUUUAUUGAGAUAUAAAACUGAAUUUACUAUAAUUAAAUAAAAACACAUUACAUUAAAUCGAGAAUAUUCGCAUGAAACUUCACUUUGUUCCGGGAAUUUCUAUCCAUAUGAUUCUUAGGAAAAUCCGAACUUUACAGUAAGGAGUAAACUUUCUCGAUGAGAGUAGUUACUCGUGGCGUUAAAUAUAUUCCUUUAGUAACACGGGUCACGUCGUUGAAAUUGAAAUGAAUGGCGAACGGUUCUAAAACUUAUAUUUUGCCCUUUCUGCAUACUGUGUUUCCUUGAUCUAAAUAUAAACGUGGCUCGACAGGGAUGAGAACGAAAGCUUGGCGAGAACGUAAGCUCCGCGAAAACGAAAGAUUCGAGGAACUGUAAAACGAAGGUGGCUCUUCCAUGGGAUAUGCAUUCUUUGUGGAACGAUCUCGCAAUAGAAAAUCACGCGAUUGGAAUAAUCGGCGUGGCCUCAAAUUGAUGCGUUCUCCACUGGCUAAUGGCUAAUAUCCGAGCGUUUCCUCCCGGAAUUCGUGUCUACCAAUCGAACGAAUCUGCGAGUAUAAUGAGAUCCGUGGGUUCGUUCGUUUCGUGUCGAGAAGACGAUUCAACAGAGGAUUGCGCACGUUUGAAAAUGGUUGAUCUAAUACGGAAGAAUUUUAAGCAAAGCGGAUAAUUACUUGAUUAUUUAGAAAAAAGAAUUGCAAGCUUGAAAGAGAAUUGAAUAAGAUUACAGAUGUAUUGAACAAGAUGAUGAUGAGAUUUGUUAAAAGAUUAAAUAGCACAAUUCUUUAAUUACAAAGAAUGGAAAAGUUUCUUAAAGAAUUUUAAGGACAAAUAAAGUAAAAGUACGUGACUUGAGCGAGUAAAAUUUGUACAAUAUGAGAAUUCGGAGGGCAAUUCUCAAUGAAUUAACGCUUGUUCCUUAAAGAUUCUAAGAAAUAUCUUACA